rnacentral:rRNA from 1 species
AUACGUAUGUCGCAAGCGUUAUCCGGAUUUAUUGGGCGUAAAGCGCGUCUAGGCGGCUUAGUAAGUCUGAUAUGAAAAUGCGGGGCUCAACCCCGUAUUGCGUUGGAAACUGCUAAACUAGAGUACUGGAGAGGUAGGCGGAACUACAAGUGUAGAGGUGAAAUUCGUAGAUAUUUGUAGGAAUGCCGAUGGGGAAGCCAGCCUACUGGACAGAUACUGACGCUAAAGCGCGAAAGCGUGGGUAGCAAACAGGAUUAGAUACCCUGGUAGUCCACGCCGUAAACGAUGAUUACUAGGUGUUGGGGGUCGAACCUCAGCGCCCAAGCUAACGCGAUAAGUAAUCCGCCUGGGGAGUACGUACGCAAGUAUGAAACUCAAAUGAAUUGACGGGG